rnacentral:rRNA from 1 species
UACGGAGGAUGCGAGCGUUAUCCGGAUUUAUUGGGUUUAAAGGGUCCGUAGGCGGAUCUGUAAGUCAGUGGUGAAAUCUCACAGCUUAACUGUGAAACUGCCAUUGAUACUGCAGGUCUUGAGUGUUAUUGAAGUAGCUGGAAUAAGUAGUGUAGCGGUGAAAUGCAUAGAUAUUACUUAGGACACCAAUUGCGAAGGCAGGUUACUAAGCAACAACUGACGCUGAUGGACGAAAGCGUGGGGAGCGAACAGG